rnacentral:snRNA from 1 species
GGGUGAUCUGGCUGCGACACCUGUCACCCCAUUGACUGCCAGGGUUGAUUCAGCUGAUCUGACUGGCUAGGUGGGUGUCCAUGUCUAACCCUCCCGAAGCUGUGCUUUCGGUCGAAAAGGACGACCUUCCCCGAAUAGAGGAGGACCAGUCUUCGGUCCAGGGUAUACGAGUAGCUGCGCUCCCCUGCUAGAACCUCCAAACAAGCUCUUAAGAAAAAACCAAAAAUCCGGUAAAUGGAGGCUAUUACAAGACCUGAGACAGGUUAAUAGGACCAUGAUGCUCAUGGGUGCCACUCA